rnacentral:rRNA from 1 species
GAUGAACGCUGGCGGCGUGCCUAAUACAUGCAAGUAGAACGCUGAAGGAAGGAGCUUGCUCUUUCCGGAUGAGUUGCGAACGGGUGAGUAACGCGUAGGUAACCUGCCUGGUAGCGGGGGAUAACUAUUGGAAACGAUAGCUAAUACCGCAUAACAGUAGAUGUUGCAUGAUAUCUACUUAAAAGGUGCAAUUGCACCACUACCAGAUGGACCUGCGUUGUAUUAGCUAGUUGGUGAGGUAACGGCUCACCAAGGCGACGAUACAUAGCCGACCUGAGAGGGUGAUCGGCCACACUGGGACUGAGACACGGCCCAGACUCCUACGGGAGGCAGCAGUAGGGAAUCCUCGGCAAUGGACGGAAGGCUGACCGAGCAACGCCGCGUGAGUGAAGAAGGGUUUCGGAUCGUAAAGCUCUGUUGUAAGAGAAGAACGAGUGUGAGAGUGGAAAGUUCACACUGUGACGGUAUCUGACCAGAAAGGGACGGCUAACUACGUG